rnacentral:rRNA from 1 species
GAUGAACGCUGGCGGCGUGCCUAAUACAUGCAAGUCGAGCGAAUGGAUUAAGAGCUUGCUCUUAUGAAGUUAGCGGCGGACGGGUGAGUAACACGUGGGUAACCUGCCCAUAAGACUGGGAUAACUCCGGGAAACCGGGGCUAAUACCGGAUAACAUUUUGAACCGCAUGGUUCGAAAUUGAAAGGCGGCUUCGGCUGUCACUUAUGGAUGGACCCGCGUCGCAUUAGCUAGUUGGUGAGGUAACGGCUCACCAAGGCAACGAUGCGUAGCCGACCUGAGAGGGUGAUCGGCGACACGGGGACUGAGAGACGGCCCAGACUCCUACGGGAGGCAGCAGUAGGGAAUCUUCCGCAAUGGACGAAAGUCUGACGGAGCAACGCCGCGUGAGUGAUGAAGGCUUUCGGGUCGUAAAACUCUGUUGUUAGGGAAGAACAAGUGCUAGUUGAAUAAGCUGGCACCUUGACGGUACCUAACCAGAAAGCCACGGCUAACUACGUGCCAGCAGCCGCCGUAA